UUACCCAGGAACUUUCAACACAUUACAGU
rnacentral:piRNA from 1 species